UGAACGCUGGCGGUAUGCUUAACACAUGCAAGUCGAACGGAAACGAUACUAGCUUGCUAGUAGGCGUCGAGUGGCGGACGGGUGAGUAACGCGUAGGAAUCUGCCUGAUAGUGGGGGAUAGCCCGAAGAAAUUCGGAUUAAUACCGCAUAAUCUAUUCGUAGUAAAGUGGGGGACUUUCGAGCCUCACGCUAUCAGAUGAGCCUGCGUAAGAUUAGCUUGUUGGUAGGGUAAAAGCCUACCAAGGCGACGAUCUUUAGCUGGUCUGAGAGGAUGAUCAGCCACAUCGGGACUGAGACACGGCCCGAACUCCUACGGGAGGCAGCAGUGGGGAAUAUUGGACAAUGGGGGCAACCCUGAUCCAGCAAUACCGCGUGUGUGAAGAAGGCCUGAGGGUUGUAAAGCACUUUCAAUUGUGAAGAAAAGUUAGCGGUUAAUAACCGUUAGCCUUGACGUUAACUUUAGAAGAAGCACCGGCUAACUCCGUGCCAGCAGCCGCGGUAAUACGGAGGGUGCAAGCGUUAAUCGGAAUUACUGGGCGUAAAGCGUGCGUAGGCGGUUUAUUAAGUCAGAUGUGAAAGCCCCGGGGCUUAACCUGGGAACUGCAUUUGAAACUGGUCAACUAGAGUAUGGUAGAGGAAAGUGGAAUUUCUGGUGUAGCGGUGAAAUGCGUAGAUAUCAGAAGGAACAUCAAUGGCGAAGGCAGCUUUCUGGACCAAUACUGACGCUGAGGUACGAAAGCGUGGGUAGCAAACAGGAUUAGAUACCCUGGUAGUCCACGCCGUAAACGAUGAUAACUAGCCGUUGGGGGGAUUUACCCUUUAGUGGCGAAGCUAACGCGUUAAGUUAUCCGCCUGGGGAGUACGGCCGCAAGGUUAAAACUCAAAGGAAUUGACGGGGACCCGCACAAGCGGUGGAGCAUGUGGUUUAAUUCGAUGCAACGCGAAGAACCUUACCUGGUCUUGACAUCCUGCGAACUUUCUAGAAAUAGAUUGGUGCCUUCGGGAACGCAGUGACAGGUGCUGCAUGGCUGUCGUCAGCUCGUGUCGUGAGAUGUUGGGUUAAGUCCCGUAACGAGCGCAACCCCUAUCCUUAUUUGCCAGCACAUCAUGGUGGGAACUAUAAGGAGACUGCCGGUGAUAAACCGGAGGAAGGCGGGGACGACGUCAAGUCAUCAUGGCCCUUACGACCAGGGCUACACACGUGCUACAAUGGGAAGGACAAAGAGCCGCGAAGCCGCGAGGUGUAGCUAAUCUCAUAAACCUUUUCGUAGUCCGGAUUGGAGUCUGCAACUCGACUCCAUGAAGUCGGAAUCGCUAGUAAUCGUAGAUCAGAAUGCUACGGUGAAUACGUUCCCGGGUCUUGUACUCACCGCCC
rnacentral:rRNA from 1 species